UACGUAGGGUGCAAGCGUUAAUCGGAAUUACUGGGCGUAAAGCGUGCGCAGGCGGCUUUGCAAGUCAGAUGUGAAAUCCCCGGGCUCAACCUGGGAACUGCAUUUGUGACUGCAUGGCUGGAGUGCGGCAGAGGGGGAUGGAAUUCCGCGUGUAGCAGUGAAAUGCGUAGAUAUGCGGAGGAACACCGAUGGCGAAGGCAAUCCCCUGGGCCGGCACUGACGCUCAUGCACGAAAGCGUGGGGAGCAAACAGG
rnacentral:rRNA from 1 species